rnacentral:rRNA from 1 species
UACAGGGGGGCAAGCGUUGUUCGGAAUUACUGGGCGUAAAGGGCUCGUAGGCGGCCAACUAAGUCAGACGUGAAAUCCCUCGGCUUAACCGGGGAACUGCGUCUGAUACUGGAUGGCUUGAGUUCGGGAGAGGAUGCGGAAUUCCAGGUGUAGCGGUGAAAUGCGUAGAUAUCUGGAGGAACACCGGUGGCGAAGGCGGCAUCCUGGACCGACACUGACGCUGAGGAGCGAAAGCCAGGGGAGCAAACGGGG